GUCUGGGUGGUUCAGUCCUCAGGGUAUCAGCAUUUUAAUCUGAGGGUCCAGGGUUCAAGUCCCUGUUCAGGCA
rnacentral:tRNA from 1 species